GAUUCCAUCGUUUCUUCUCAGCGUUCAUAGAAACACGUGUUUUUUAUUUCGCCAGCACAUUUCUUUUUACUGCCUGUAGGUGAUAUUUACAUGGAUAUAGACUUUAUUAAGUAGUGAUGCCGACGGUCUUUUUUUAUUUAGUAUCUUUAUUUGACACACAGCCAGGUCUGGUCGGGACGAAUCUGCGACUAAACAUCUGGAGAUGUCGGUUCCAACAUGGCGCUGCCUGGCAGGUUCUACAGAUCUGCUGUUUUCACCACAUAGAACAAGCCGUACAUCUUAUGCUGAAACGUAUAGUGUUUUAAACUUAAUUAGCUCUUUUACAGCUCACAAUAAUGACAAGAUCUGGGCUGAUCGUGAUGCUGUGCUAUUCACUGCACUGCUGCCGCUCAUUGUGGCGCAACCUGUGCGCUUCUGCCUGUUCAAAGCAAUCAGUGCUGAUUACCGAUGGCGAACCGGUCAGCGGGAUCACUGUAGGCUUUGGAAGGAUUAAAACUAUCAAGAUGUUCCACUAGUAAAAUACUCGCUGAAGGUGCACCUGGAGAGUUUCCACCACAAUCUGCUUGGAUAUUCCACAAUCUGUUGCUCGGUUCUACAUCACUGACGGGUCGCAGCAAGAAGACAGACCACCGAUCAGCUGGUUUUGUUCCUGUUCUCCUGAGAUGUGCAUCUCAGUCCGGGUCCAGGGACGCUGCAGGACUCCGCUGCUGAGCUCUCUGUAGGCCUCAGGAGGAGAGUGAAAGUACCAGUUCCUCCUGAAGGUCAGAGAUUGCAGCAUCUGAGGGCCUCUUCAAAAGAAGAUGUAGUUGAUGAAGGCGUUCUGGAGCAGGACCAGAAAGACCACGACCAAGCAGCCUUGAGAUCUUAGGCAGCGUCUCCCUCAGGUCCCUCUCUAUCUCCCCACACAUCCACCAACCACUGGAACACAUCUCCAAAGUUCUGCCGGGCCAGCUCAGCUUCCCCUCAGAAGAAGUGCUGCCACCUGCCAGAUGAAGGAGCCUUUUGAGAGGCAGCUGGCAUCGUGAUUGGACUGUACUUUGGUCUGUUCCAAUCCAGCUUCAGCUCCAGAGACGGCAGGCGGGACGAGUCAACGGAGGCCUGGUGGACGAAGGCAUGAAGCUGAGUACAAUCCAGAAAACAACAGAGGAGGAGUGCAGCAGCCCAGAGCCAGAAUAAACAGAGAAGCACAUUAUGUCUCUUAGAAAACAUCAUAGUACAGCCUUUGGUAUGAAAAAACACCAUGAUAUACAUCGUAUAUUGUACAAAUAACAAGUCAAAGGAAAGACCCAUACAUUGUAGAAUUGUAGUAAUUGUGGGCUGACUGAUUUACUGAUUAUCAGUAUUUUAUUUUUUAUUGAUUUACGGUAAUAAAUACAUUUAAAAAUGGUGCUACUUUGGCUCUGAACCUUAAUCUACCUGUGGUCGCUCUGUCUUCUGGAGUGAUUUGAUUGUUUUUACGUCACGAAUAAAACUCCUUUAACUUAACAUCUGUAAACAAAGCAAAAACGUAUCAACAAAGUUUUCUGUUAGAGUUUGUGUUCUUGUAAGUUUAACUCCAAGAUUUUAAAUACUUUCAUUCACUGCAAAUGAUUAUCUACUCCAAAUGUCUCACUAAUAAUCAUUAUCAGCCUUAAAAACCCACAAAACACCCCUCUAUACUGGACCACACUUAGUACAGUCUGGUUCCCCCUUCUGUAAAUCUGCUUGGAAUCUUCCACUUCCUGUUUGUCAAAGUGGCCUUCUACCUGGACAGGUUUUGUUGGAGCUCAUGCAACAAACAUUUUGGGUAACUGCACUUUAAUAUGGAUGGAUGACACUGAAUUAGAGUCUGUUUUAAUGAGACUGAGUUAAGAUGUGUAGCUCUGUCAUUAAAUAGGAAAUUAUUUCUCAGAAUUCACAGAGAAAAGUCUGAAAUGUUUGCUAGGUUAGCAUCCCACAUGUUCUUUGGCUCAGCUAAUGCUAACUCUCUCCAACUUCUGGAUCUCUUGAGUUGCUUGUUGUUAAAAUAUCUUGCUAGAGGUGCUGAAGCUCAGAAAGUCUGAGAUGUUUGUUCAAAAUCAGCUCAUUCUCAAGUCUGAUCUGAACUGUCCUCUUUUGUUUGAACUUUCCCUAAACUUAGGAGUUAAUGACAGAGCAGCACAUUCAGACUCAGUCUCAUUUAUGUAGAGAUUAAACUUCAGUGUCAUUCAUUGAUGUUAAAGUGCAGUUUUUCAAAUGUUUGUUGCACAUGCUCCCGACCAAACCAGUCCAGGUGGAAGACGAUGUGAAGAGAAAGCUCCAGAGGAUGAAUAUCACACAUUUACGUUGGAAAUAAAUGUCCUUUAAUUAGA